CUCUCGGCGUGCCUCUGAAACCGGGUGACUUGAGGGCAGGAGAGGGGAGUGGAAUUCCCAGUGUAGCGGUGAAAUGCGUAGAUAUUGGGAGGAACACCAGUGGCGAAGGCGGCUCUCUGGCCUGUUUCUGACGCUGAGGCGCGAAAGCGUGGGUAGCGAACGGGAUUAGAUACCCCGGUAGUCCACGCCGUAAACGAUGGGUGCUAGGUGUAGGAGGUAUCGACCCCUUCUGUGCCGUAGCUAACACAAUAAGCACC
rnacentral:rRNA from 1 species